ACGCUGGCGGCGUGCUUCAGACAUGCAAGUCGAACGCGAAAGUUCCCUUCGGGGAGCGAGUAGAGUGGCGCACGGGUGAGUAACACGUAGGUAAUCUAACUUUGGAUGGGGAAUAACAACCCGGAAACGGUUGCUAAUACCGCAUAAUGCAGCGGGCACCUAAUGGUGACAGUUGUUAAAGCGGGGGAUCGAAAGACCUCGCGUCUGAAGAGGAGCCUGCGGCGGAUUAGCUAGUUGGUAAGGUAACGGCUUACCAAGGCGAUGAUCCGUAACCGGCCUGAGAGGGCGGUCGGUCACACUGACACUGACAUACGGGUCAGACUCCUACGGGAGGCAGCAGUCGGGAAUUUUGGGCAAUGGGCGAAAGCCUGACCCAGCAACGCCGCGUGAAGGAUGAAAUCCCUCGGGAUGUAAACUUCGCAAGAACAGGAAGAAUAAGUAAGGGUUAAUAUCUCUUACGAUGACGGUACUGUUUGUAAGCUCCGGCUAACUCCGUGCCAGCAGCCGCGGUAAUACGGGGGGAGCAAGCGUUGUUCGGAUUUACUGGGCGUAAAGGGCGCGUAGGCGGCCACCGCAAGUCGACUGUGAAAUCUCCGGGCUUAACUCGGAAAGGUCAGCCGAUACUGCGGGGCUAGAGUGCAGAAGGGGCAACUGGAAUUCUCGGUGUAGCGGUGAAAUGCGUAGAUAUCGAGAGGAACACCUGCGGCGAAGGCGGGUUGCUGGGCUGACACUGACGCUGAAGCGCGAAAGCUAGGGGAGCGAACGGGAUUAGAUACCCCGGUAGUCCUAGCCUUAAACGAUGAAUGCUUGGUGUCUGGGGUUUUAUAGUCCCCGGGUGCCGUCGCUAACGCUUUAAGCAUUCCGCCUGGGGAGUACGGUCGCAAGACUGAAACUCAAAUGAAUUGACGGG
rnacentral:rRNA from 1 species